AGUUCGGAUUGUAGUCUGCAACCCGACUACAUGAAGCUGGAAUCGCUAGUAAUCGCGGAUCAGAAUGCCGCGGUGAAUACGUUCCCGGGUCUUGUACACACCGCCCGUCACACCAUGGGAGUCAGUAACGCCCGAAGUCAGUGACCCAACCUUAGGGAGGGAGCUGCCGAAGGCGGGACGGAUAACUGGGGUGAAGUCGUAACAAGGUAGC
rnacentral:rRNA from 1 species